CUACCAAGUCCCCAGCGCAGGUGCCAGUGUACUUCCCAGACAUGGAAACUGUUGUUCGCUGCUGCCCAUUCUUACCCCAGGUCCCCCAGGCCUUUCUGCAGAAGGCCAGUAAAUCUCUGUUGUUCUAUGCCCAAAACUGCCCCAAGAUGAUGGAAGUUGGGGCCAAGCCAGCCCCUCGGACACUGUCCACUUCAACAGUACACUGCCAGCAGAUCAAAGAAACCUCUUCAGCCAAUGAGAAGGACAAAACUGCCAAAGCCAAGGUCCAGCAGGCUCCUGACAGAUCCCAGCAGAUUCCAGAUGGCACACAGCUUCCAUCUGGACACCCCUUGCCUGCCACAAGCCAGGGAACUGCGAGCAAAUGCCCUUUUUUGGCAGCACAGUUGAGCAAGAGGGGUAGCAGUGUCUUCUGCAAAGCCAGUCUCGAGCUUCAGGAAGAUCAUGCGAAAGCAAAGACCAGAAAGAGUGUCUCAUCUUCUUCAAGAUAACUUGCCAAAAUCUGUUUCCACUUUUCAAUAUGAUCAUUUAUUUGAAAAGAAAAUUGAUGAGAAAGAAAAUGACACCUAUCGAGUUUUCAAAACUGUGAAUCGGAGGGCACACAUCUUCCCCAUGGCAGAUGACUAUUCGGAUUCUCUCAUCUCUAAAAAGCAGGUGUCGGUCUGGUGCAGUAACGGCUACCUAGGAAUGAGUUGCCACCUUCGGGUGUGUGGGGCAGUUAUGGACACUUUGAAACAACAUGGUGUUGGGGCAGGUGGUACUAGAAAUAUUUCUGGAACUAGUAAAUUCCACGUGGACCUAGAGCAAGAGCUGGCUGACCUUCAUGGGAAAGAUGCAGCACUCUUGUUUUCCUCAUGCUUUGUGGCCAAAAACUCAACCCUCUUCACCUUGGCUAAGAUGAUGCCAGGCUGUGAGAUUUACUCUGAUUCUGGGAACCAUGCCUCCAUGAUCCAAGGGAUUUGGAACAGCAGAGUGCCAAAGUACAUCUUUCAUCACAAUGAUGGCAGCCAUUUCAGAGAACUGCUGCAAAGAUAUGACCCUUCAGUCCCCAAGAUUACUGCAUUUGAAAUUGUGCACUCAAUGGAUGGAGCAGUGUGCCCACUGGAAGAGCUGUGUGAUGUGGCCCAUGAAUUUGGAGCAAUCACCUUCGUGGACAAGGUCCAUGCAGUGGGGCUGUAUGGGGCUUAAGGUGGAGGGAUUGGAGAUCGGGAUGGAGUCAUGCCAAAAAUGGACAUCAUUUCUGGAACACUUGGCAAAGCAUUUGGCUGUGUUUGAGGAUACAUCACCACUACAAGCUCUCUGAUUGACACCGUGCAGUCCUAUGCAGCUGGCUUCAUAUUUACCACCUCUCUGCCACCCAUGCUGCUGGCUGGAGCCCUGGAGUCUGUGCGGAUCCUGAAGAGUGCUGAGGGGCGGGCACUUCGCGGCCAACACCGGCUCAAUGUCAAGCUCAUGAGGCAGAUGCUAAUGGAUGCUGGCCUCCCAGUUGUCCACUGCCCUAGUAAUAGCAUCCCUGUGUGGGUUGCAGAUGCUGCUAAAAACACAGAAAUCUGUGAUGAACUAAUGAGCAGACAUAACAUCUAUGUCCAAGCAAUCAAUUACCCUAUGGUGUCCCGGCUGGGGGUGGGGGGGAAAGGGGGAAAGAGCUCCUACGGAUUGCCCCCAUCCUUCAACAUACACCACAGAUGAUGAACUACUUCCUUGAGAAUCUGCUGAUCACAUGGAAACAAGUGGGGCUGGAGCUGAAGCCACAUUCCUCAGCUGAGUGCAACUUCUGCAGGAGACCUCUGCAUUUUGAAGUGAUGAGUGAAAGAGAGAAAUCCUAUUUCUCAGGCUUAAGCAAGUUGGUAUCUGCUCAGGACUGAAUGUGACUUCAAUUUACCUAACCCAAGGCUGUUGUCAUAUCUGGAUAGUGCCCAGAGUUGUCUUUAUAUGUGAAUUAAAUUAUAUUAAAUUUUAAUCUAUAGUAAAAACAUAGUCCU